UUCCGGUUGAUCCUGCCGGACCUGACUGCUAUCGGAUUGAUACUAAGCCAUGCGAGUUUUUGUAGUAAUACAAGGCAGACGGCUCAGUAACACGUAGUCAGUCUAACCUAUGGACGAGGAUAACCUCGGGAAACUGAGAAUAAUACUCGAUAGAUCAUUAUGCCUGGAACGGUUUAUGGUUCAAAUGAAUUUCGCCAUAGGAUGGGACUGCGGUCUAUCAGCUUGUUGGUGAGGUAAUGGCCCACCAAGGCUAUUACAGAUACGGGCUCUGAGAGGAGAAGCCCGGAGAUGGGUACUGAGACACGGACCCAGGCCCUAUGGGGCGCAGCAGGCGAGAAAACUUUGCAAUGUGCGAAAGCACGACAAGGUUAAUCCGAGUGAUUCCUGCUAAAGGAAUCUUUUGUUAGUCAUAAUACCACUAAUGAAUAAGGGGUGGGCAAGUUCUGGUGUCAGCCGCCGCGGUAAAACCAGCACCUCAAGUGGUCAGGAUGAUUAUUGGGCCUAAAGCAUCCGUAGCCGGCUUUGUAAGUUUUCGGUUAAAUCUAUAUGCUCAACAUAUAGGCUGCCGGGAAUACUGCAAAGCUAGGGAGUGGGAGAGGUAGACGGUACUCCGUAGGAAGGGGUAAAAUCCUUUGAUCUAUGGAUGACCACCUGUGGCGAAGGCGGUCUACCAGAACACGUUCGACGGUGAGGGAUGAAAGCUGGGGGAGCAAACCGGAUUAGAUACCCGGGUAGUCCCAGCUGUAAACUAUGCAAACUCAGUGAUGCAUUGGCUUGUGGCCAGUGCAGUGCCGCAGGGAAGCCGUUAAGUUUGCCGCCUGGGAAGUACGUACGCAAGUAUGAAACUUAAAGGAAUUGGCGGGGGAGCAC
rnacentral:rRNA from 1 species